UCCGUUGGUGAACCAGCGGAGGGAUCAUUGCAGAGUUGCAAAACUCCUCAAACUAUCGUGAACCUUUACCGCUAAACAGUUGCUUCGGCGGGUGGCCCGCGGGAGGAAUCCAAAAAACCAUCGCUUUCAGCACCGGCCUCUCUGAGUUACUCUACUUUUAAUUAACCUAGUCAAAACUUUCAACAACGGAUCUCUUGGUUCUGGUAUCGAUGAAGAACGCAGCGAAAUGCGAUAAGUAAUUGAAUUGCAGAAUUCAGUGAAUCAUCGAAUUUUUGAACGCACAUUGCGCCCGCCAGUAUUCUGGCGGGCAUGCCUGUUCGAGCGUCAUUUCCACCAUCAGGCCCCCGGGCCUGUGUUGGGGACCUGCGGCUGCCCGCAGGCCCCGAAAUUCAGUGGCGGUCGCGCCGUAGCAACCGAGCGUAGUAACUAAAACGUCUCGCUCUGGCUCGCUGGGCGCGCUCCGGCCGUAAAACACCCCCCCUUUUCGCAAAGGUUGACCUCAAAU
rnacentral:rRNA from 1 species